UGGGGAAUUUUGGACAAUGGGGGAAACCCUGAUCCAGCCAUCCCGCGUGUGCGAUGAAGGCCUUCGGGUUGUAAAGCACUUUUGGCAGGAAAGAAACGUCAUGGGUUAAUACCCCGUGAAACUGACGGUACCUGCAGAAUAAGCAACGGCUAACUACGUGCCAGCAGCCGCGGUAAUACGUAGGGUGCAAGCGUUAAUCGGAAUUACUGGGCGUAAAGCGUGCGCAGGCGGUUCGGAAAGAAAGAUGUGAAAUCCCAGAGCUCAACUUUGGAACUGCAUUUUUAACUACCGGGCUAGAGUGUGUCAGAGGGAGGUGGAAUUCCGCGUGUAGCAGUGAAAUGCGUAGAUAUGCGGAGGAACACCGAUGGCGAAGGCAGCCUCCUGGGAUAACACUGACGCUCAUGCACGAAAGCGUGGGGAGCAAACAGG
rnacentral:rRNA from 1 species